GAGUACGUGCUUCCUGGGAGCGCUGAGAACGGAUUUAAGAAGGGGUUUGAGUAUGGCCAGAGAUGUUUCUGAUGUGCUAAACAUCUGGAGGUAAAUUAGCAGCAUGACUAAUGUAGCCAUUGCUGUCAGUCACCUUCAGAGAAGC
rnacentral:snoRNA from 1 species